CUGGGACAGUGGAAGGUGUCCCUGCCAUGGCAGGGGUGGCACUGGAUGGGCUUUAAGGUCCCUCAGGAUUCCACAAUUCCCAGAGAAGUUCCCAAGUGCCUCCUCCACUUGGGAGGGGCAGGACUGGGGCUGGCCCUGGCCGUGUGUGCCCACCCCAGCGGGGACAGAGCUCCCAGCUGGCAGCACAGGAGGGGCUGGGAGACUGCCCAGAGUCCCUCCCUGCCCAGCUCUGACCCUAAACAUCAUCUUCUCACCCCAAAAGCGCUUCAUGUUGCGGCCGAGGGUAUUUCAUGAUUGGGUAGGGUUAGGGUUUGAAUUACAAGUGUUUUAUUAUUGGUA